UCAACUGUUACUGCUAGGAGGAAGUUUCAUUUUAAAAAAUAUUUCCAUAGAUACUGUUAGACUAAAAGAAAUAGGUAGAUGGUUCAAAUAGAAUAAUAAACUAUUAAAUUCAGAAAGCCACUGUAUAUAAAAGGAAAAAGACAUUGUACUUAAGGAUGCAAUUACUUUCUUUUUCCUGUUACAAUGUUCUAGGCCAGCUGCUUUUCUGCUUACCAUCAUUUAUGCUUAUACUAAAGCAUGUCUCAUCUGUAAGACUAAUUUUUAUUUAUUUGUUUCUGUAGCUGUUUCUUUACCAAAUUCUACGUGGUUUGGCAUAUUGCCAUAGAAGAAAGGUAUUGCAUCGAGACUUGAAACCACAGAACCUCCUCAUUAAUGAAAAAGGAGAAUUAAAGCUAGCAGAUUUUGGACUAGCCCGAGCCAAGUCAGUUCCCACAAAGACCUACUCAAAUGAAGUUGUCACACUAUGGUACCGGCCACCUGAUGUGCUUCUUGGUUCCUCGGAGUACUCAACACAGAUUGACAUGUGGGGUGUUGGUUGCAUUUUCUUUGAAAUGGCUUCUGGAAGACCUUUAUUU
rnacentral:sRNA from 1 species